rnacentral:rRNA from 1 species
CCUACGGGUUGCAGCAGUGGGGAAUAUUGGACAAUGGGCGAAAGCCUGAUCCAGCCAUGCCGCGUGUGUGAAGAAGGUCUUCGGAUUGUAAAGCACUUUAAGUUGGGAGGAAGGGCAGUAAGUUAAUACCUUGCUGUUUUGACGUUACCAACAGAAUAAGCACCGGCUAACUUCGUGCCAGCAGCCGCGGUAAUACGAAGGGUGCAAGCGUUAAUCGGAAUUACUGGGCGUAAAGCGCGCGUAGGUGGUUCAGCAAGUUGGAUGUGAAAUCCCCGGGCUCAACCUGGGAACUGCAUCCAAAACUACUGAGCUAGAGUACGGUAGAGGGUGGUGGAAUUUCCUGUGUAGCGGUGAAAUGCGUAGAUAUAGGAAGGAACACCAGUGGCGAAGGCGACCACCUGGACUGAUACUGACACUGAGGUGCGAAAGCGUGGGGAGCAAACAGGAUUAGAUACCCGAGUAGUC